AGAGCCCAAGCCGGGGGGUGUGAGGUGCCAGUGUUACCCACUGAGUCACCAUGUAAACUACACAGAGCCCAAGCCGGGGGGUGUGAGGUGCCAGUGUUACCCACUGAGUCACCAUGUAAACUACACAGAGCCCAAGCCGGGAGGUGUGAGGUGCCAGUGUUACCCACUGAGUCACCAUGUAAACUACACAGAGCCCAAGCAGGAGGUGUGAGGUGCCAGUGUUACCCACUGAGUCACCAUGUAAACUACACAGAGCCCAAGCCGGGAGGUGUGAGGUGCCAG